GAGCUCUCUCGGGUGGGCGAGGUCUUGUUCUACCCCCUGAAAAAUCACAGAAAAUAAAGCAACUCUGCUUCUCGGAAGCUCUAUUCAAAAAGAGUCCAGCCAUCAGAGACCAGGAUGAAGGAACUUCAUCGGAUCAACUCUGGUGGAUGUCGGUGUUUGCUUUUGACCCCCAAACCUUCAUAAAUGAAGACUUACACGCCUGGUGCGCAGCGCUGUAACCUUGCUGGUUUUGGUCUCCACCAGUUCCAAAGCAGUUGUUGCUCCUCAUCUUUUGCAAGCUGCAGGUCUGAAGACUUCUCUUAAUUCAAACUGGAACAGUAAAUAAACAAAACUAUUCCCUCUUCCACGGAGAGCAAUGAUAGGUAUGCUGGAAACAGAUAGUUUUAUUUCUUUCAACGUUGUUUCUUUUUUUUUUCCUCUUUCAUCAUCUUCUAACCUGCCAUCAGCUAAGGCAAAAGGAGAGCUCCGAGAAGUGGGAAGCACCCAGACCGCUCUUCGUCAACGUGGUGGGUGGCUGACAGUUUUCAGAUCAGUCUAAACGUAUCCUGGUCCUCAGCCAUCAAACGGUAAUUGGUAAAUAGCCCCGGUAAACAGCGAUUUCGCUUUGAAGUAGGAAAAUAUUUGUCCUGCAGUGAGGCUUUAAUAACAAGGAAAUUUGGGCAGGGUCCAGCUCUCAGAGCGCUGGAUUUCGGCGUUGCGGUGCUUUCAAAACUCAGCUGCCUUCCUGGAGAUGCAUCGUGUUGCAGGGGCUGCAAGCUGUUCGUUUUUAACGUUCAUCGCAAAUAUUUUCAAGCCUACGAGCUUCUGCCGGCGGAGGUCGGUCCGGAAGGAUGGGCAACAAGCUUGUCUGCUGGGCUCCGUCUCACGGAGAGGGAAAAUGAAUGCCUGAAGCUGUUAACUAGAAAUAGAUGCCCUUUUAGAGGCUUUGAGAGCUGCUGCAUCCUCUUUUCGGGGUAUGCUAGAACGCAGGGGCUUCCUUCGCUCAUUUCUUGGAAGGAGCACCGUGCCUCUUCAGAAUUCGCUGCGGCGAAAUCAAAAGCCGAGAGCAAACUUUGUGCAUGGUGGGUCCCAGCCUGGUGGAGGGCUCAGGACUGCAGCUCGUGGGACUGUCACCUCCCGAAGGCAUCUCGGGGCUGGGCACAGGAGAAAAAGCAGCACCCCCAGCUGAGCUCUCACCAGACCUGGUGUGGUGCAGUUCCAAUAUUUCCUCCACGCCAUCCCCCGUGAUUUGAUUGUUAUUCUGGCAUAACAAAAGCACCCAGCCCCAGCUAAUUUGGACGUGCUGAUAUUUUGAACGGAGUGCUUGUGUUUUUAAAUACGUAGCUGCUCCUGUGUCAGAAACAGAAUGAACUUGUAAUAGUGCCUGGCUUUUAGGGAGGGAGCUGUUAACCCUGGUCUACCGGUGUCAUUAUGGAGGGGGAGGACAAAAAAAAUCCAUAUCCACGCUUGUAAAUAAUGUUAUCCAUCUUUCAAGUGCAGGCCUGACCCAACGCUGGAAGGGCUUUUAUGGUUUGUCUGCGGCGGGGUGAAACUCAAAACAGUUGUGGUUUGGGAGCAGCGUUUGCUGAAUAUUAAGAGCACUGUGUGUAAAUAGAGGGAAGGGACCCGACUGGAUUCGUCGGGACCUCGAAUUGAAAACCCUCGUGUGACUCCUAGCGAGUCCCGUCAAGGAUCUCGGAGCAGCCUGUUUAUUUUAGCUAACGAGUGGGUCCAAACAACACGGCUUGCAGCGGACUAAUGCGAGCUGCAAAUGUUUACGGCCCGCCUAGACGAGUGUUUAUUGCUGUUGCGUAACCCGAGCCAACUGGAAAUUGCAUAACAAGGUAAAACAGCAACGCCACGGGGCUGAUGGGUCCCCGUGCAACUUCUGCUGAGGGCAUGAAAAAGUUUUUGUACCAUCAUAGGCUGGCCGAACAAAGAGAAAUCAGGGCUGGCUUCUUUGUGCCAGAGCUGUAUGUGUAGAGCGACACGCGUCAGCUCAGUAACGUGGUAAGAUCAGGGCUUCUCAUUAACAAACAAAAGCAAAUGACUUGCAUUAAGGUGCAUUCAGUCCAUCUGUCACAGGUCUUCAGCCCGACGAGAGGGUGAUGCACCCACAGGAGCUGCGAACCAACCCCACCUCGGUAACAAAGCAGCCCCCGGACGAAACAAUCGCCUUUUACCAGGUUGUUCCUGCACCGCAAACGCCCCGUGAGCAUGCUGAUAGGCAGGUGCCACGAUACUUGUUGGCUUUGCCUGGGGUUCCAGCUCAGCAUUUCUAAUUUUGGCAGCUGGGCUCUCGGUGCGGGCUGUAGGCAGCCAGGAGCAUCCCAGUGAGGCAGGAGCAGUGCUCAUCUUCACUCGGUGCCGCAGCAUCCCUCCUCUCCUCGCCCUUCUCUCAAAGAAAAAGUGGUUAGAAAGUGCUUUUGUCCCAAACCUUCAACGCUUGGCAUCCCUGGGCUCAGCUGGGUGCAACCCUUCUGUGCUAACGUUUUGGGGUAAAAGUCUCUGUUUAGCUUCAUUUAGGGAGAAACCCGCUUCUCGUUUUCAUAAGCGUACCUAAAACAUUUUUUUACAGUUUCAUGAUUAAUUAAAAUAAUGGUUUCCGUGUCCGUGCAGCUUUAAAAUCUACAAACUGUAGGAUAAGGAAAAAAAAGGGGAAAAAAAAGGAAAAAAAGGAAAAACAAAGAAAAGCAAAUCAAAAAAA